CCAAUAGCGUAUAUUAAAGUUGUUGCAGUUAAAAAGCUCGUAGUUGAAUUUCGAGACCGGCUUACUGGUCGUGCUAUUGUACGUACUGGUAUAAUCGGUUUCUCCUUUCUGACGAACUAUAAUGCCAUUAAUUUGGUGUUUUAGGGAAUCAGGACUGUUACUUUGAAAAAAUUAGAGUGUUUAAAGCAGGCUCACGCUUGAAUACAUUAGCAUGGAAUAACGGAAUAGGACGUUUGAUUCUAUUUUGUUGGUUUCUAGGAUCGACGUAAUGAUUAAUAGGGAUAGUUGGGGGCAUUAGUAUUCAAUUGUCAGAGGUGAAAUUAUUGGAUUUAUUGAAGACUAACUACUGCGAAAGCAUUUGCCAAGGAUGUUUUCAUUAAUCAAGAACGAAAGUUAGGGGAUCGAAGACGAUCAGAUACCGUCGUAGUCUUAACCAUAAACUAUGCCGACUAGGGAUCGGAUGAUGUUAAUUUUUUAAUGACUCAUUCGGCGCCUUACG
rnacentral:rRNA from 1 species